ACAUAAUUGGCUUAGUGGAUAAAGGAUUUACAAAAUAGCUAACCAGCAAUAUUGCUCACUGACAAUUCUGUGAAUGAGAUCCAAACAACAACAAUGUAGCGGCACUGUUACAAUCAACAUUUUAAUUUACAAUGAUAUAAAGGAUGUGUUGAUGUAAUGAUGUCUACCACACGUUCUUACACUAGAUGUGUCAUUGAAGCAUUCAGCUAAUUAUAUUCUCGCCAUUUAAUCUACAGAGAUCUGAAACAUAAAAAUUGGACUUAACUGGUUGUGUGAAAUUUGACGAAUUUGCUGUUGCUAUAAAACCAAAAAACAGAAGAGAAACGUGGACAUUCUAUAGAACACCAGAAUACAUUACACCUGAUCUAUUCUCAACAGAGUUUAUGAUAUCUUUGGAGUACUUAUGUUUGAAUUGAAUUGCUGAAAAAAGCCCUAAGAAAAAAUAUUACCUAGUAGUAAAAAGCCAUCAUUUUUUAUUUUAAAUUUUAGUUGACAUUUGAUUA